rnacentral:misc_RNA from 1 species
AUAAGACGUCCUUGGCAGACAUUCAGAAUAUUAACCUAUUUUCGACAAAUAUAUUCUACUAGCAACCAUUUGAACCUUAAAGAGUUCACUCAUGGUUUCAAAAAGCGUGUUUUGGAUGUAAUGAAUGCUGACUUAAUCAACUCCAUUACCAGGGAAGAGAUUCAAAGAGUUGCAUUUUCUAUCCAUCCAUCCAAAGUUCCAGAGGAGGACAGCCUAAUAGGUUUCUUCUUUCAAAAAUA